GAGGAAGUAAAAGUCGUAACAAGGUCUCCGUUGGUGAACCAGCGGAGGGAUCAUUACCGAGUUUACAACUCCCAAACCCCUGUGAACAUACCUUAUGUUGCCUCGGCGGAUCAGCCCGCGCCCCGUAAAAAGGGACGGCCCGCCGCAGGAACCCUAAACUCUGUUUUUAGUGGAACUUCUGAGUAUAAAAAACAAAUAAAUCAAAACUUUCAACAACGGAUCUCUUGGUUCUGGCAUCGAUGAAGAACGCAGCAAAAUGCGAUAAGUAAUGUGAAUUGCAGAAUUCAGUGAAUCAUCGAAUCUUUGAACGCACAUUGCGCCCGCCAGUAUUCUGGCGGGCAUGCCUGUUCGAGCGUCAUUUCAACCCUCAAGCCCAGCUUGGUGUUGGGAGCUGCAGUCCUGCUGCACUCCCCAAAUACAUUGGCGGUCACGUCGAGCUUCCAUAGCGUAGUAAUUUACACAUCGUUACUGGUAAUCGUCGCGGCCACGCCGUUAAACCCCAACUUCUGAAUGUUGACCUCGGAUCAGGUAGGAAUACCCGCUGAACUUAAGCAUAUCAAUAGGCCGGAGGA
rnacentral:rRNA from 1 species